UACAGAGGGGGCAAGCGUUAUUCGGAAUUAUUGGGCGGUAAAGGGCGCGUAGGCGGCUUUUCAAGUGACGGGUGAAAGCCCUCGGCUUAACCGAGGAACUGCCUGUCAGACUGGGAAGGCUUGAGACCGGGAGAGGUGAGUGGAAUUCCCAGUGUAGCGGUGAAAUGCGUAGAUAUUGGGAGGAACACCAGUGGCGAAGGCGGCUCACUGGACCGGAACUGACGCUGAGGCGCGAAAGCGUGGGGAG
rnacentral:rRNA from 1 species